UUUUCCUUCAACAGGCAGCCUUUUGAUGAGUUCAUAAAGUACUGAGAGCAAACAGAAACAGCUUUCCUGCAGUGAGUCAGUCUGCAGCAGCAGGCAGAACGUUCUGCAGCCACGAUGCUGAGACUGUCAGCCGGACAGGAGGAGCUGCUUUAAGGACAAAUCUGGACAAACAGAGACAACUCAUCCCAGAAAAACCCAGAAAGCUCCUCUGCUGUUUGUUCUCAUUCCAACUUCCAGUCGUCUAAAAAUACAUGAGAGAAAAAAAAACAUAUAUUUGGCAAGACGGAGUUCUCAUGACUACCAGUGAGGCUCCAGCCUCUCAGCAGAGGAACUUAAAUCUCCUUUUUAAAGGAAGGAAAAUAUUUUCCACCUAAUUCCUCUGAUCUUUGGAGUUGUUCCAUCUAAAGCUGAAGUAUUUUCUGAGCCGUUCCUACAGCAGCAUAAAAACUGGAAAGCUAUAAAGAUGGAAUUAUGUAAAUGAUCUUUUUUACUGAAUAACAGAAUAAUGACAGAGUUUUCAGAGAAUUCUUCAAUAUUUUACACACAUCUUUCUGCCUUACUGGUAGAAUGACCUCUGAACUCUGAGUUGGGUGUUUUUGGUUUUCUUCUCUCAGUAGUUUGCUCUAAUUUUUGUCCAUUCCUCCUAACAGAACCGGUCUAUUUGGGCCAGGCUUGUUGGCACCUUUAAGCUCCGCCUACAAACUUUCUCUGGUUCUGAGCUCAGGUCGGCUUGCUGGCCUCUCCAGACAUGGACUUUAUUGUCCAGAAGCCAUUUUGGCUCCAUGCUGAGUCCAACCUGAUUUCUGUCCAGUCUUUACAUCCCUCUAUGAUGUUUUUUAGAUAUUGCUUCAACAUUUUCACAGAAUGUUCUUCCUUCAUGAUGCCAUCUAUUUUAUGAAGUGCACCGGUCCCUCCAGCAGCAAAAUAGCCUCACAACAUGAUGCUGCCACC